CCUUACCUACUCUUGACAUCCACGGAAUUUAGCAGAGAUGCUUUAGUGCCUUCGGGAACCGUGAGACAGGUGCUGCAUGGCUGUCGUCAGCUCGUGUUGUGAAAUGUUGGGUUAAGUCCCGCAACGAGCGCAACCCUUAUCCUUUGUUGCCAGCGGUUCGGCCGGGAACUCAAAGGAGACUGCCAGUGAUAAACUGGAGGAAGGUGGGGAUGACGUCAAGUCAUCAUGGCCCUUACGAGUAGGGCUACACACGUGCUACAAUGGCAUAUACAAAGAGAAGCGACCUCGCGAGAGCAAGCGGACCUCAUAAAGUAUGUCGUAGUCCGGAUCGGAGUCUGCAACUCGACUCCGUGAAGUCGGAAUCGCUAGUAAUCGUAGAU
rnacentral:rRNA from 1 species